GCCUCAGUGCCUGUGUCUCUUCCUGCAGCUCUGUUAGGGUCCUCCUGGUGGACUCAGUGUCUAUGCCUCGGCCUUCCCCUGGUGCCCCAACAAGGCUGUUCAGCUUCUGGUUCUCAGCCUCAACCUGUUUGGAUUGUGAGGACAUUUUCUAGAGGCAGAGUGAGAAGGCUGCAGACCACCAACACCAGUGGUACCUUGAGGACAUACUGCAGCAGGUCUUCAUACUUCUUCUUGAGGGAAAGGAUAACAUCAUCUUGCCUGGGGACCUCCACACUCUCCCUGCUGCCUCUCCUCGUUUCCCCUUGUCGCUUGGCCCUCUGCCGCAGCUUCUGAAUCUGAGGAGGAUUUGGUGAUUCCUGCUGUAAUGACCUUGCCAGAUUUAAUUGAUAACUGUUAUAAUUCACAAUCCUGAAGUCUAAUGUUCAGUAUUGAAGAAACAGCCAUGAGCCUACAUUUCACAGUAAAUAACCCAUUGCUAGAAAAAUCCUUGUUGUGAAGAAAACUGUAGCACUUAGAGACUUGUGGGGGCGAUGGUCCUGUACAUGUUGUGAAUGGAAGGGAAAGAAUUUAAUAAAAAAUCUGGUUCUAAAA